AACGAACGCUGGCGGCAGGCUUAACACAUGCAAGUCGAACGCAUGCCUUCGGGCAUGAGUGGCAGACGGGUGAGUAACGCGUGGGAACGUACCCUUGGUUCGGGAUAACCCGGGGAAACUCGGGCUAAUACCGGAUAAGCCGGAAACGGGAAAGGUUUACUGCCGAAGGAUCGGCCCGCGUCGGAUUAGCUAGUUGGUGUGGUAACGGCGCACCAAGGCGACGAUCCGUAGCUGGUCUGAGAGGAUGAUCAGCCACACUGGGACUGAGACACGGCCCAGACUCCUACGGGAGGCAGCAGUGGGGAAUAUUGGACAAUGGGCGCAAGCCUGAUCCAGCCAUGCCGCGUGAGUGAAGAAGGCCCUAGGGUUGUAAAGCUCUUUCAGCGGGGACGAUAAUGACGGUACCCGCAGAAGAAGCCCCGGCUAACUUCGUGCCAGCAGCCGCCGUAACAC
rnacentral:rRNA from 1 species